CAAAGAUCAGCUGUGAUGCAUUGAUCUCAGCUCUGAAGUCCAACCCAUCCCACCUGACAGAACUGGACCUGAGAUACAACAACCUUCAGUCUUCAGAUGUUGAUCAGCUCCAGGAUCUGGUCAAGAGUCCAGACUCCAAACUGCAGACUCUGAGGUGGAGGUGGUUCUGAUGUUCCUCCUUUUGGAUCAAACAGGAUCAUCUUCAUCAUCAUCAUCAUCAGCUGGUCUGCAGAGAUGUUGUUCCUGGAGGUGGAGAGCAGAGUGAUGGAGGAAUCAGAGGAAGUGGAGAUGAUCAUCAGAGCUGCAGCAUGAACUGAUCUGAGAUCAGCUCCACUGUCUCUCUCAGCAUCAAGUGGACAGUUAUUGUGCUGCAGCUCCCCUGGUGGACUGAUGGAGAACUGCACUUCAUCUUCUCAUUCUAACUUGGAGUGUUAAUCUGAAACAUCAGUUGGAUUCAGAUGUUCAGCAGCUCCAGGAUCUGGAGAAACAAACAGAUUAUUUUCUAGAUUAUCACUUUCUUCUUUUAUCUACAUUUGAUGAAGAGACCUGGACCAAUCAGGAUUGAGGGAACCGUUGAUCAUACAGAACAUUUCUAGAUUAGAUAGAUCUAUUUGUGGCCAGUGUUGGGUAAAUUACUUAAAAAAGUACUAAUUUACUUUAGUUACUGGAUGAAAUUGUAAUAUACUUCUUACUAAUUUUGAAAAACAUUACUCUCUAAUUUUUUUAUCUCAAACUCUUAAGUAGAAAACAACAUGAACAAGAUUCUCUUGUCUUUCAUUUAACUUUAUUUUUAAAUCAAUGAUUUUGUGCAAACUAUGAACAUGGCUUAAGAAAUAACCUGACUUAAUUAGAAAUCAGUCAGGAGUUUGGAAAUUACACAAAAUUACAAUAUACGUGGUCUAUGCCACUGUUUAAAGAAAGAUGUGGGGAAAAAACUGUUACACUAUAGAUGUAUAGUAAAUCUGAAACUCUUUCAAAUCUCAGCUCCCAAGUGGCUGUUGGAUUGUUUUAGUGGUUAAAUUAAUUUAUUACUAGCAUUGCAAAAUUAUUCAUUUGAAUGUUCAUCACAUGGACUUUCUUGUAUGUAUUCACUUCACAUAAAAUGUAAAUAUGAUUAAAAAAAAAAACAUUUUAUACUGAUUUCUUUUUUUAAAUUAAAUUCAACUUUUUGCUUUAUAACUGUUCAGUUUUCUCCUUUUAAAUAAAUUUAAAGUGAAAUAACUUCUUGUAACUGUUUCUCCCUCAUGCACGUGCGGUCUCUGUGACACUACUGGUCCCUCUCUCUUCUGCUCAGUACAAACUCAAUGACAGAUCUCAUGCAACUCAUAGAGAAAAAGCAGGUAAAAAAGGAUGAAAGAAUACAUGUGUAACAGCUCCCAGGAAGAAGCUGGGGCCUGUAUUGCAACAAGACAGGUCUCUGCUCUGCUGCACCUCAAGAAUGGUCCACUGAGAUGUGAGGUCUCCUCUCAGCAUCUCCUUCUAUCAUUAGAUUUCACUUUCAAAGCCUCCAUGGUCGGCCAUCUUUCAGCGUUUGAACUGAACCUGCUUUGGAAACAUUCACAUAUCUCUUUGUUUGCUCGUCCCAUUGCUGAAGUCCACUUUUCAUUUCUCCUGAAAAGUGCUGUGCUUCAGACGAAAAGUUCUGGACUUCAUUUCUACUUGACGUCCUAAAUUAGUUUGUUUGGAAACAUGUCAGAUGGACAACACUGGAGCAUUAAAACACAUUCUAAAAAUGUUAUUUAGAAAAGCGUUUCCAUCCAAUCGAUGGCCCAGAAUUCUUUGGACAGGCGGACAUCAUUUUGGUGAAUUUAGUUCACGUUACAGAGCUGGUGCUGAGAACUCAUCCAGCUUUGUUCUACAAACAUUUUUACAGCUUUUAUUUAGUUGUUCAAGACAAUUUCCAAAGGAGAAGUUAAAAUAAAAUAUGUUUUGUUAAAAAA